rnacentral:rRNA from 1 species
UCCUUUGGCGUCGAGCGGCGGACGGGUGAGUAAUGCUUGGGAAUGUGCCUUAUGGUGGGGGACAACAGUUGGAAACGACUGCUAAUACCGCAUAAUGUCUUCGGACCAAAGUGGGGGACCUUCGGGCCUCACGCCAUAAGAUCAGCCCAAGUGGGAUUAGCUAGUUGGUAAGGUAAUGGCUUACCAAGGCGACGAUCCCUAGCUGGUUUGAGAGGAUGAUCAGCCACACUGGGACUGAGACACGGCCCAGACUCCUACGGGAGGCAGCAGUGGGGAAUAUUGCACAAUGGGCGCAAGCCUGAUGCAGCCAUGCCGCGUGUGUGAAGAAGGCCUUCGGGUUGUAAAGCACUUUCAGUAAGGAGGAAAGGUUAAGUGUUAAUAGCACUUAGCUGUGACGUUACUUACAGAAGAAGCACCGGCUAACUCCGUGCCAGCAGCCGCGGUAAUACGGAGGGUGCGAGCGUUAAUCGGAAUUACUGGGCGUAAAGCGUACGCAGGCGGUUUGUUAAGCGAGAUGUGAAAGCCCCGGGCUCAACCUGGGAACUGCAUUUCGAACUGGCAAACUAGAGUGUGAUAGAGGGUGGUAGAAUUUCAGGUGU